rnacentral:rRNA from 1 species
UACGAAGGGGGCUAGCGUUGUUCGGAAUUACUGGGCGUAAAGCGUGCGCAGGCGGUUUUGUAAGUCUGUCGUGAAAUCCCCGGGCUCAACCUGGGAAUUGCGAUGGAGACUGCAAGGCUAGAAUCUGGCAGAGGGGGGUAGAAUUCCACGUGUAGCAGUGAAAUGCGUAGAGAUGUGGAGGAACACCGAUGGCGAAGGCAGCCCCCUGGGUCAAGAUUGACGCUACAUGCACGAA